UACGAAGGGGGCUAGCGUUGUUCGGAAUUACUGGGCGUAAAGCGCACGUAGGCGGAUAUUUAAGUCAGGGGUGAAAUCCCAGAGCUCAACUCUGGAACUGCCUUUGAUACUGGGUAUCUUGAGUAUGGAAGAGGUGAGUGGAAUUCCGAGUGUAGAGGUGAAAUUCGUAGAUAUUCGGAAGAACACCAGUGGCGAAGGCGGCUGACUGACAUGUAUUGACGCUGAGGUGCGAAGCGUGGGAGCAAACAGG
rnacentral:rRNA from 1 species